UAUAUAAAACGUGCAGGCAGAGAGUUGCAGCGGAGCUAAGCAGAGAUUUUCACUACUACCACAGACGUGGUCAAGCUGUACAGUGGAACCCUAUCAGAGUCUGACUGUGCAUUUUGUCAAUGAAGAAUUCGACCUCAAAGCUCGCUGUCUUCAGACUGCUUAUCUCACGGACGUCCACACUGGGGAGAACAUUGGAGCCAGACUGAGAGAAGAGCUAGCCAGCUGGGACCUCAAUAAAGAAAACCAUGUCUGCCUAACGACGGACAAUGCAUCGAACAUGGUGAAGGCAGCACAGCUUAACAGUGGACCAGGCUCCAGUGUUUCAGCCACCGAUUACAUCUUGCCAUUGGAGAAGAGGUCCUGUACUGAAACCAUUUCGAAGCCUCAAAGUGCAAAGCCCUCUGCGGAAAAGGCAAAGAAGUCUCUCGGCAGCUUUUUGAAGACUGGUGUGGCAUUUCCUGUUUUGCCUGUGCAACCUGAAGAUGUCAUGGAGGUCGAGUUGAACCUGAUGACCUCUUCCAUUGAUGGAGAUGAAGAUCCCCUGGCCUUGUGGAAGCUGCACAAGACAAACUUUCCACAACUGAGAAAGUUGGCCUAUACGUAUCUUUGUUUACCAGCCACAAGUUCCCCCCUCAGAAUGUCUUUUUAGGUCUGGAGGAAAUAUAGUAACUUGUACUCAUUCGUCCUUAAAACCAGCAGAAGUCGAGAUACUGGUUUUCCUGGCAAGAAACCUGUGAGCUCCUGAGAACCAUGCAGUAGGAUGACAUAGUGGCUGGCAGAGCCAUGCUCCUUGUGCACUUUAGUCUGUGUGGUUUGUUACUGUAACUGACUGGAUAUCAGUAAGAUUAAUAUUUAUAUUAAUGUUCACACUGUUUUUUUUCUUUUUAGAUUUUAUUAAAACGUACAAUCCACAUGUUUACAUAUUACUUGUUCAUUACAACGACAUUGUGUUAUCUAAAUAUUUUUAGUAGUAGAGCCACAGAUUUGUUAUUUUUAUGUUUAUGCACUUUAGUUUGUGUGAUUUGUUACUGACUGUAGAUCAGUAACAUAUUUAUGUUCAUAUUAAUGUUCACACCAGGCCUAUUGUUCUGCAGUGCUUUGUUGUUCGUUUUUCAGAUUUUAUUAAAAAGUUAAGUCAUGAUAAUUACAGUACAUGUUUAAAAGGCUUGGAGUUAAAUCAGUUAAUAUUCUGUGAUUGAAGGUUUUAUCUUUUUACAAUUCAGUAGUUAAAUAAAGAUAUGUCAUUCAUAUCA